rnacentral:rRNA from 1 species
AUUGAACGCUGGCGGCAUGCCUUACACAUGCAAGUCGAACGGCAGCGGGCCUUCGGGUGCCGGCGAGUGGCGAACGGGUGAGUAAUGCAUCGGAACGUGCCAUUGAGUGGGGGAUAACGUAGCGAAAGUUACGCUAAUACCGCAUAUUCUGUGAGCAGGAAAGCAGGGGACCGCAAGGCCUUGCGCUCUUUGAGCGGCCGAUGUCAGAUUAGCUAGUUGGUGAGGUAAAGGCUUACCAAGGCGACGAUCUGUAGCGGGUCUGAGAGGAUG